rnacentral:sRNA from 1 species
UAGCAGCGCUGGAGAUUGAAAUCUGUUUAUCCACAGAAUAGGUACAGCACAGAUGGCAUCAGUGCAAACUUCCCCACCUAGCCCCACUGGUAUGCUUCAUCUCUGACCUGGAGAGACGACCUAUAGGGACAAGAGGGUUCUUGAAGUUCAUCUUUCGUGCUGUAACUGGUGAUA